UUUCUGAUUAACCAGUAGUCUAGCUCAGAUUUCUUCAUGCAGACUCAAAAGCAGCAAGAGAGGAAUCCCCAAUGCACAUGCACUAUUUCCAUUAUUUGCCUGCAUAAUAUUUAUUUGUAUUCCAUUAGCCAAAACAAGUUACAAGACCAGACCAGACCCAUGGAGGUAGAGGAAGAUUCAACAUUUGAUGGCAGAGUGUCUUUGACAAAGUCACUGGAUCAAAAUUGAAAGGAGAGCUUUUGGAUUACAUGCUAGCCAAGCUAAUGCUGACUUCUGUUCAGAGAAAAUUUGGAUAUUUAUUCUUUACACUGAAGAUCCCAACUUCCAUUACACAGGUGCAGAUGGGAAAUCAGAAAAUAUAUUCAAAAGCAUUUUAAUUUUAAACAUAUGCACUUGAUUGUUUACUAUAGAUAUUCUCUGAGUUUGAAAAAGCAUAAAGGCUCAACCAAGAUACCGCAAAAAUACCAAGCAAAAAGCAAGAAAGCCCUUGCCAGACACUGGCCUCUCAAUCUUGGACUCCCCAGCCCCCAUAAUUGUGAGCCAAUAAAUUUAUGUUCAUUAUCAA